AGAGUUUGAUUCGGCUCAGGAUGAACGCUAGCUACAGGCUUAACACAUGCAAGUCGAGGGGCAGCAGGACGAUAGCUUGCUAUUGUUGCUGGCGACCGGCGCACGGGUGAGUAACGCGUAUCCAACCUUCCCCUUAGUAGGGCAUAGCCCGUAGAAAUGCGGAUUAAUACCCUAUGUUGUUCGAUGCGGACAUCUAAGUUGAACCAAAGGUUUACCGCUAAGGGAUGGGGAUGCGUCUGAUUAGGCAGCAGGCGGGGUAACGGCCCACCUGGCCUACGAUCAGUAGGGGUUCUGAGAGGAAGGUCCCCCACAUUGGAACUGAGACACGGUCCAAACUCCUACGGGAGGCAGCAGUGAGGAAUAUUGGUCAAUGGGCGCGAGCCUGAACCAGCCAAGUAGCGUGCAGGACGACGGCCCUAUGGGUUGUAAACUGCUUUUAUGCGGGGAUAAAGUGCGGCACGUGUGCCGUUUUGUAGGUACCGCAUGAAUAAGGACCGGCUAAUUCCGUGCCAGCAGCGGC
rnacentral:rRNA from 1 species